CUUGGCAGCGUGGGGCGAACAGCUGCAGAAAGUCCCGGCGGCAAUAGGGGCGGCCUUCCCGCUCGUGGAACCCUGCGGGUCCGGGCAAGGAACCACAAAGGCCCUUGGCCUGGGUGGGGACUCCCUGUCGACUGAGGUCUGACUGCAGCAACCCCAGCAUGGUGUCCAGGCUGCCCUCAGCGGUGGACCCUGAGAUCUAUUAUUCACAAAGAAACAAGUGGAAAGAAGAGAGGCAACCUUGUGUGGUGGAUAGAUCACCAGACUUGGAGUUGAGAACAUACUCCUGGCCUCAGUUUCCAAUUGAUUGAUCUAUGCCCCAGCUCCUUCUUACAGAUAUCUUCAGAGGUACCUUUUAUCCUUCUUCUCAGCCCUCUCAUUAGGUAAUCUGCCAGACUCCCAUACUCUUCUGAUUAGCUGUUUCCCCUAACUAGGACCCCUGGAUUGGGAUACCUACCAAAGACUACAAUACGUGGUUCAAGAAGGGAUAAAGGGGAGGUGGAGUCACCUGGUAGGGUAAAGAGAGACAAUCACCAGGAGAGAAGUGUACCCCUGGUGGCCUGACUCCCCCUCCUAGUCUCUCUCCCCCACUCCUGCCUUUCUCCUAUGAUCUGGGUAUCUUGCCUUCCAGCUCGAAGCUUUCUUCUGCAGACCCACGCCCACGAAUCCUCCCUGCCACCAACCUAAGGCCACCCCCCUGUUCCCCUCUCAGAACCCAGCACCAGCGAAACCAAGAGGAGCAGGAGAAAGCCAGAGUGACAGGGGAGUCUAGAUUCUCAGAGAGACAAAAGCCCAUGGAAACCCUCCCAGGAGUACAGAAUUCAGACGCGCAGAAAUGGAAAUAAAAACUCAGAGGAAGACACAGAUCAAGACGGAUGGAAAUACUCAUGCACAAAGAGCUUCUUAAGUAAAGGGAUAGAGAUGAAGCACCCCAAAGCAGACACUCCUAGACUCCUGGGCCACAUACAGAAGACCCAACUCCCUCACUCAAGAGAGGGCUGCAGUCAAUGCUUGCAUUUUCUUGAAUUGUGCAAAGCCAUUA